rnacentral:rRNA from 1 species
GCUAGCUACAGGCUUAACACAUGCAAGUCGAGGGGCAUCAGAAAGAAAGCUUGCUUUCUUUGCUGGCGACCGGCGCACGGGUGAGUAACACGUAUCCAACCUGCCCUUUACUCGGGGAUAGCCUUUCGAAAGAAAGAUUAAUACCCGAUAGCAUAAUGAUUCCGCAUAGUUUCAUUAUUAAAGGAUUCCGGUAAAGGAUGGGGAUGCGUUCCAUUAGGUUGUUGGUGAGGUAACGGCUCACCAAGCCUUCGAUGGAUAGGGGUUCUGAGAGGAAGGUCCCCCACAUUGGAACUGAGACACGGUCCAAACUCCUACGGGAGGCAGCAGUGAGGAAUAUUGGUCAAUGGGCGGUAGCCUGAACCAGCCAAGUAGCGUGAAGGAUGAAGGCUCUAUGGGUCGUAAACUUCUUUUAUAUAAGAAUAAAGUGCAGUAUGUAUACUGUUUUGUAUGUAUUAUAUGAAUAAGGAUCGGCUAACUCCGUGCCAGCAGCCGCGGUAAUACGGAGGAUCCGAGCGUUAUCCGGAUUUAUUGGGUUUAAAGGGAGCGUAGGUGGACUGGUAAGUCAGUUGUGAAAGUUUGCGGCUCAACCGUAAAAUUGCAGUUGAUACUGUCAGUCUUGAGUACAGUAGAGGUGGGCGGAAUUCGUGGUGUAGCGGUGAAAUGCUUAGAUAUCACGAAGAACUCCGAUUGCGAAGGCAGCUCACUGGACUGCAACUGACACUGAUGCUCGAAAGUGUGGGUAUCAAACAGGAUUAGAUACCCUGGUAGUCCACACAGUAAACGAUGAAUACUCGCUGUUUGCGAUAUACAGUAAGCGGCCAAGCGAAAGCAUUAAGUAUUCCACCUGGGGAGUACGCCGGCAACGGUGAAACUCAAAGGAAUUGACGGGGGCCCGCACAAGCGGAGGAACAUGUGGUUUAAUUCGAUGAUACGCGAGGAACCUUACCCGGGCUUAAAUUGCAGUGGAAUGAUGUGGAAACAUGUCAGUGAGCAAUCACCGCUGUGAAGGUGCUGCAUGGUUGUCGUCAGCUCGUGCCGUGAGGUGUCGGCUUAAGUGCCAUAACGAGCGCAACCCUUAUCUUCAGUUACUAACAGGUCAUGCUGAGGACUCUGGAGAGACUGCCGUCGUAAGAUGUGAGGAAGGUGGGGAUGACGUCAAAUCAGCACGGCCCUUACGUCCGGGGCUACACACGUGUUACAAUGGGGGGUACAGAAGGCAGCUAGCGGGUGACCGUAUGCUAAUCCCAAAAUCCUCUCUCAGUUCGGAUCGAAGUCUGCAACCCGACUUCGUGAAGCUGGAUUCGCUAGUAAUCGCGCAUCAGCCACGGCGCGGUGAAUACGUUCCCGGGCCUUGUACACACCGCCCGUCAAGCCAUGGGAGCCGGGGGUACCUGAAGUACGUAAACGCAAGGAUCGUCCUAGGGUAAAACUGGUGACU